rnacentral:rRNA from 1 species
AGAAUCAACGCUGGCGGCGUGCCUAACACAUGCAAGUCGAACGAGAAAGUGGAGCAAUCCAUGAGUAAAGUGGCGCACGGGUGAGUAACACGUGACUAACCUACCCUGGAGUGGGGGAUAACUGAGGGAAACCUUAGCUAAUACCGCAUAAUACCUACGGGUCAAAGGAGCAAUUCGCUUCAGGAGGGGGUCGCGGCCGAUUAGUUAGUUGGUGAGGUAACGGCUCACCAAGGCUUCGAUGGGUAGCUGGUCUGAGAGGACGAUCAGCCACACUGGGACUGAGACACGGCCCAGACUCCUACGGGAGGCAGCAGUGGGGAAUCUUGCGCAAUGGACGAAAGUCUGACGCAGCAACGCCGCGUGGGGGAUGAAGCUUCUCGGAGUGUAAACCCCUUUCGACCCGGACGAAUGCCCGCAAGGGUUUGACGGUACGGGUAUAAGAAGCCCCGGCUAACUACGUGCCAGCAGCCGC